rnacentral:rRNA from 1 species
UACGGGGGGGGCAAGCGUUGUUCGGAAUUACUGGGCGUAAAGGGCUCGUAGGCGGCCAACUAAGUCAGACGUGAAAUCCCUCGGCUUAACCGGGGAACUGCGUCUGAUACUGGUUGGCUUGAAUCCGGGAGAGGGAUGUGGAAUUCCAGGUGUAGCGGUGAAAUGCGUAGAUAUCUGAAGGAACACCGGUGGCGAAGGCAGCAUCCUGGACCGGUAUUGACGCUGAGGAGCGAAAGCCAGGGGAGCAAACGGG